UGGAAGUCUCCACCAGUGGGUGUGGAUUAGUUGACGCGACCAGACCAGGAAAUGCAUUGCCAAGUCCCACAUCAGAAAUCUUGUGCCUCGAGUAGCCGCUGCCUGAUGGAUCACCGGGAUUUGUCACCCAGGCGAAGAAAGGCAGAACUGGGUAAUGUCCAGCUCCAGGCACCUACACAGGAAAAGACGAGGCUGCCCGAGUACCUCCCUGUGGAAGAGCUGUGUGCUGUGUGCUCUCCACUCAAAGGAUGGCUGUGAGAGCUCUGCGCUGGCCACAUUCACCACCCUCGCUUCUCUGGUCCGGAGGCACACUGCUGACCGCCGCUGCCCUCUGUGGCGGAAGCAGGGUCUGAACUGGCAUCAAGUGCAAUCACCUGUGCUCAGGUGCAAUGUGAUCAAAAGUCUCAUCGCAAAACACACUUUUCAACCUAAUCACAAUUUACAGCAUAAAUAUGGACUAAAUUAAAAAUCUCUCUGGCAGCGUGGAUCCGCUGUGACCAACAACAUUGCACAGCCUGUAGGCCGUGAGCACUCCUCUUGCACAGUAGACCACGCUUCUGCAGCUCUGCCCUCUGCGGUGCCUCUACCUGAAAAGCGGAGCAGCAGCACCCGUGCACACACCGCCCUAAGGCAUCCUGUCUGGGAUACCAACACAUCAAGGCUUCGUGGUGACCAGUGGUGCCAACAGCACAUUCUACUUCCUUCGCUGUCACUUUCGUGGCUGGUGCCACAGGUGCUCCAGCAGAACUGAGACUGGAAUCCUUUUUUAUUUUUUUCAACUUGAAGGGUGUGAUUUUAGAGGGUGGUUUUUUACAUCACUAGUUUUAGACUCCAAUGGAAAGCUUGAGCCAUUAAUUCACUUUUGAAAAAUUAUUUGACUACAGUACAAUAGUACACCACAAAUGCAAGCAUAACCGAAAUAAAUGAGGCCACGUGACAUAAAACUGUGUGGGA
rnacentral:lncRNA from 1 species